rnacentral:misc_RNA from 1 species
AUCUAUUCGUAUAUUUCAUCAUGAGGGUCGUACUAAUCUUAGCUUGUGUUCUUGUGGCAGGUAAAGUUUCUUAGCUGACAUCUUAUAACCAAUGCCCAAUGUUAUCAGAAACGUGAUUAGAGUUAUUAUAGAAAACAGCAAAUAUUGAUGUUUUUAGGUCAAUACGAUGAUAUAGCUACCCGAGAAGUACCAUAUCCAUCGAGCCGAAGGUGAGGUAAAUAUGUACUUCGAGGGUAGUUAAAUUGUCAUAUUACUCGAAAAAAACCCAGCAAUGAUUGUUUUAUAUGAUUCAGCGACUUGAUACAGACAUCAAUUUACGUGUUUUAAAGCGAAAAAAAAUUUAUAUCUCUUUUUAGUUUGAAGCCAUAGUCGAAACAAGUAUUUCAUUGAAUGCCGUGAAUAAUGUUUAACAAUCGUAGAAUUUUGGAAAAUUACAAUAUUUUUUAAGUUUUAUGUUUAAAUAAAAAUUGAAAUAAUUUUGUGACCUGAUAGAUCACGUGCAGGUAAAUAUAACGUUUCAUUUUGUCUAGAUUUUGGAUAUUAGAAAAAAAAUUAAAAUAAUAAUUUAAAAAUAUAACACAUUCUUUUAAACAUAGAUCAUUUAAAAUAAAGGUAUUCGAAAACUCAAUUUGUCGAUACCAGUUAAUUUUCAAUUGAACUAUCCAUGAUGAUUAAACCACAUCAAAAUGCAUUAGGAUACUUAUCCUGUUUGCUUUCUGCAACCAUAAACGGUUGAGCAUUUCUUCCAAAUAUUUGUGUCAGUGUUUAUAACUAUUUCUGCAGUGUACGCCGAGUCCUGCUCAGCUCCUGCAGACUGCUCUGCCACUACCUGUGGCUCAAAUGCCGAACUUCACUGUAUUGAUGGCCUCUGCACUUGUACCACCGCUGGUAGUGGAGAUGGUAAAUGCAUACUUAUGCUUGGUAUACCUCUAUUAGUUUAGAAUUGACACAAUAAACAAUUCUUAUUUCUAAUACGACUUGCAGGAGGAUGCGUUAACACCGAUGACUGUCAUGGAGGAUGCCAUCAUGGAGGUAGACAUCACUGUAUUGAUGGACGCUGCCGAUGCACACACUUCUAACUUUUGUAUCAAUUCUAAAAAAAUAAAUUUUGCU